rnacentral:lncRNA from 1 species
CUUACUCUGCCAAGGUAAUACAAACAAACUCAAUAUUUUGGUAGCCACAAAUCUAAUAGCAACAACAAUACAAAUCAUAUGUCCAACAUCCACUUGCUCACCAGUACGUAUUCUCCACUUUACAUAGGGCAAACAUGUCCACAUGCAUCCCGCCUACAUAUAAUCUAGAUAGCAGUAUGUUACCUUGCCUACAUGUCAUCACCACACAUUCACAAAAGACUUUGCAA